rnacentral:sRNA from 1 species
UCGAAGGAGACGGUGCGGUAUCCUCGGAUC